rnacentral:rRNA from 1 species
UAGGGAAUCUUCCACAAUGGGCGAAAGCCUGAUGGAGCAACGCCGCGUGUGUGAUGAAGGCUUUCGGGUCGUAAAGCACUGUUGUAUGGGAAGAACAGCUAGAAUAGGAAAUGAUUUUGGUUGACGGUACCAUACCAGAAAGGGCGGCUAAAUCGUGCCAC